UCCCUCGUAGUUCAGUCGGUAGAACGGCGGACUGUUAAUCCGUAUGUCACUGGUUCAAGUCCAGUCGAGGGAG
rnacentral:tRNA from 2 species